rnacentral:tRNA from 1 species
GGGCCAGUGGGCUAAUGGAUACUUAGCGUCUGACUAAUGGAUCAGAAGAUUCUAGGUUCGACUCCUGGCUGGCUCG